AGCUGAGCUAUCCCGACCAUUCUCAGCGUCUUAAUCUUUAUUAUUUUAGUCGAUGGCUGGGGUCUAUGUCAAUGGACGGGAUAGGGGGGAUUACAAAUUUUUAUCCUCCUACUUUAAUGUCUUUGAUCUUCAAAAAGACCACUUUUGAGGUUUCAGUAUUCGUAUAGCUAUUGMUAGUGAAUCAUUUAAAUCAGGAUUAUUUGCUAAAGUYGGAUGUGUAUUCUUAUUUAUAUCACAUAGGAGGAUAGAAAGUCAUUUACGCCCAACYACGGUUGUCAAAGAAUCAUCAAAAUCAAGCAAUUUCGAACCGAAAGGGAGAGGGUAGGAUAAAGAUUUGAGGAGUCAAAUUGGCUGGUUAGGGGAUAGAGGCUUAACCCUCACGAUUUAAAAAUCAACGGAUUUUCCUCUUACUAUAAAUUUCAUUGUUGCCAGUAUUGACAUGUAGAAGGGGACUCUAUCUUUAUUCUUGUCCGAUUGAUCAAUUCUUUAAAAGGUUUAUCGGACUAUGGAGUGAAUGAUUUCAUGAAAACAAUUCGAUUUUUUAUUCAAUGUCGAAUCAAUUCACACCAACUCUUUUUCUAUUUUUCAUAUAAAAAAAUAUAUCUAGAGAUUCGGCCCAUCAUUAAGCAUUUGCUAUAGUAUUCAAUAGAUAGGUUUAUCCUUGAUCCUUUCGGACGUUUUGGUGGAAAGAUUCCUCUACCAGUGCCCCCAUUUAUUAGAACAGCUUCCAUUGAGUCUCUGGACCUAUCUUUCUGAACCUUUGAGAAAACAGGAUUUGGCUCAGGAUUGCCCUUUUUUUAAUUCCGGGGUUUCCCUGAAUUUGAAAGUUAUCACUUAGUAGGUUUCCAUAC
rnacentral:misc_RNA from 1 species